rnacentral:rRNA from 1 species
CCUACGGGUGGCAGCAGUGGGGAAUCUUGGGCAAUGGGGGAAACCCUGACCCAGCGACGCCGCGUGGGGGAUGAAGGCCUUCGGGUUGUAAACCCCUGUUCGGUGGGACGAAUAUUUUCCCAUGAAGAGUGGGAAGAUUUGACGGUACCACCAGAGUAAGCCCCGGCUAACUCCGUGCCAGCAGCCGCGGUAAUACGGAGGGGGCAAGUGUUGUUCGGAAUUACUGGGCGUAAAGGGCGCGCAGGCGGCUUGGCAAGUCGAGUGUGAAAGCCCUCAGCUUAACUGAGGAAUGGCGCUCGAAACUACCUGGCUUGAGGGCGGGAGAGGGAAGUGGAACUCUCGGUGUAGGGGUGAAAUCUGUAGAUAUCGAGAGGAACACCGGUGGCGAAGGCGGCUUCCUGGCCCGUACCUGACGCUGAGGCGCGAAAGCGUGGGGAGCA